GCACAAGCGGUGGAGCAUGUGGUUUAAUUCGACGCAACGCGAAGAACCUUACCUGGGCUCGAAAUGUACAGGACAGCGGUAGAAAUAUCGUCUCCCAGCAAUGGGUCUGUAUAUAGGUGCUGCAUGGCUGUCGUCAGCUCGUGUCGUGAGAUGUUGGGUUAAGUCCCGCAACGAGCGCAACCCUUAUCUCCAGUUGCUACCAUUUAGUUGAGCACUCUGGCGAAACCGCCUCGGAUAACGGGGAGGAAGGUGGGGAUGACGUCAAGUCCUCAUGGCCUUUAUGUCCAGGGCUACACACGUGCUACAAUGGCCGGUACAAACCGCUGCAACCCCGCGAGGGUGAGCUAAUCGGAAAAAGCCGGCCUCAGUUCGGAUUGGAGUCUGCAACUCGACUCCAUGAAGCUGGAAUCGCUAGUAAUCGUGGAUCAGCAUGCCACGGUGAAUACGUUCCCGGGC
rnacentral:rRNA from 1 species